rnacentral:rRNA from 1 species
AUUGAACGCUGGCGGCAGGCCUAACACAUGCAAGUCGAACGAGUGGCGGACGGGUGAGUAAUGUCUGGGAAACUGCCUGAUGGAGGGGGAUAACUACUGGAAACGGUAGCUAAUACCGCAUACCAUCGGAUGUGCCCAGAUGGGAGUAGCUAGUAGGUGGGGUAACGGCUCACCUAGGCGACGAUCCCUAGCUGGUCUGAGAGGAUGACCAGUCACACUGGAACUGAGACACGGUCCAGACUCCUACGGGAGGCAGCAGUGUGGAAUAUUGCACAAGGGGCGCAAGCCUUAUGCAGCCAUGCCGCGUGUAGGAAGAAGGCCUUCGUGUUGUAAAGUACUUUCAGCGGGGAGGCGUUACCCGCAGAAGAAGCACCGGCUAACUCCGUGCCAGCAGCCGCGGUAAUAC